CUAUGAUGUGACAGUUUAUAGUUAGUUUUACUUUGUAGUGUUUAUAUCAUCUCUUCUCCACAAUGUUGCUUUUUUACAUUUAAGUACUUUUUAUACUCUUCAUAACAGUCAGGUAUUUUACAUCUCAUCUUUACAAAUAUUCACAUCAUAUGAGUUGGAUUGUCUACUUUGUGGGCGUAGAGAGAUGUGGGAGGUAAAUGCAUUUGAAAUCAGUAACUUCAUUACUAUCAUUUAUCAUCACUAUGCAAAUGUGCUAAUAGUGAAAGUUCAUAGUUCAUAGUUGCUUGAGAUUAUGGGAGAGUUCACACCCGAACAGCAGUGGGCCUUCUGCUAGUUUGUCACUGGUGCACCUAGGCUUCCACCGGGUGGUCUAUCAGUGGUAAAUCAAAAACUAACCAUUGUCAGAAAGGUAAUAUAUAUUACUAAAUUUAGUAUCUGGUAUAGAAAAGGAAAUUAUAUCUAUUUUGGGUGUUCAUAAAGAGAUGAAAAAAAUAAAUUAACUUAUGUAUGAUUAUUUGUUAUGUCAUUAAAAGUCAAAUUAUAUAGCAACUAAAAUAAAGCAAAGCAUGUACGUGCAUGGUUGAUCUUUCUUUGGAGCGGUCUUUUGAUACUGAUUUCACCGAGGCUCGACGACCAGCAGAGAUUUGAUGAUGAAGGGAGAGUGUGACUAUUGAAGGCCUAGCUUAUACAAUCUCAGCUGUAAUUCACCGAUACCAGCUCCGAAAAGGCAAGUAUGAACCUAGCCAGGUGUUAGAUUGAUCAAAGGUAUGAGAUGAGAUUCAACAUGAAAACUGGUCUAGCUACCCAAAAACAACUUUCAGCAUCAGCCCUAGAUUUUUCUAGAAUGAAUGAGAGCUACAUUGACAGGAAACAACGCUAUGUAUAUGGAACCAGACUGGACAGCAUUGCAAAAGUCACAAGAAUUGUCAAGUUUGAUCUCCAUGCUGAACCAGAAAGUGAUAAAAAAUGUCUAGAGGUUGGUGGAAAUAUUCAAGGACUCUAUGACUUGGGGCCGGGGCGAUUCGAUUCAGGGGCUAUAUUUGUCCCAAAGUUUCUUGGAGUUGAGUCUGAGGAAGAUGAUGGCUACUUAAUAUUCGUUGUUCAUGAUGAGAAUACCAAGAAAUAAUUUAGUUCAGAUAUUAAUUUUGUUCAUGCUAACAUAUAAUUCAAAGUUGUGCUCAUUUUGAAUGCUUCAUACUAAGGUGUGAUGAAUUUGAUUCAUGUUAUAUAUAGUUGGUCAUAUAUUUAUUUCUGUGUAUAUAUAUAAUAUUUUUUACAAUGUGAUACCUAUUAAGUUGCUAAAUUCAUUGAAAUAGGUUGCAAAUAUAUUACUUGCAAGCGUUAGCCGAGGUAGAGGUACAGGGGCAACCCAGGCAGCAACAGAAAUCACAAUAGCUCUUGCAAGAUCUCUUUGAUCUUGCUUUAGAGCAAAAUUGUAAUCAUAGCUCCCAAUGUAAGAAACUUUUUCCAAUAUUUUUAAUCGAAGCUCAACUUGGAAAGUAUUUAUGUGGGGCUUAUUCGAAAGAGAUUGAUUGCCUUGCAGAAUAAAUAUUACAUCGUGAUACCAUGUUAGCAGAGUGCAUAUGUAGAAAAUGCGUGAUACCAUGUUAGGGAGCUCAAUUGUAGAGAUUUUACUUUUAGUUCUCAAUUAUAUGGAUUCAAAUUUUGUAAUUUUUAAAUCGUGACUGGAUUUUUUUUUAGUUCUCAAUUGUACACAACACAUUGUAUUUACUUAUAUGUAAUGUAUAUAUUGGUGCAGACAGUAUUCUUACAUUGUACUUGACGAUGGUAUCGAGUUGCUAGAUGUUGUGAUGUUCGGAGAUGUUGUAGAAAACAUAUUCUCAUGUACUGUAGUUCAAUUAAAGUCAUAUUCGAACGAGAAACAUAGGUUGUUUGUCCAAAAAACUACGGAGAAAUUAUCGGCCAAAAAAUGAAGACUUCAGUUGUAUGUAGAUCCAAAACGAACGAUGAGUUCAAAGUGUCAAUACACCAUUCAAGCAGCUAAACCAAU